rnacentral:tRNA from 1 species
CUGGUUCGAGUCCAGGAUGGCCCACCUGAAGAUAAUUAGUAAUUACUAAUUCGUAGUUCGUAAUUAAUUACGAAUUAUGCAAUAUGAAUUACGAAUUAUUUUGAUGGGGGUUUAGCUCAGUUGGUAGAGCGCCUGCUUUGCAAGCAGGAUGUCAGCGGUUCGAGUCCGCUAACCUCCACAUUAUCUCUGUAGUGAAAGUAAAAAAAGCAAUAAAAUUGUUUUUGAGACGAAAGCAGAGAAUGUGGUAAGACGAAAGAUUGUGGAUAAAACCAGCAAUUGACUCUUUGUUUAAAUAGUCAAACUGCUGGACUAAUUCCAGCCAGAACCUUGAAAAACUGCACA